rnacentral:rRNA from 2 species
GGGUUGUCAUGCCAAUGGCACUGCCCGGUAGCUAAAUGCGGAAGAGAUAAGUGCUGAAAGCAUCUAAGCACGAAACUUGCCCCGAGAUGAGUUCUCCCUGACCCUUUAAGGGUCCUGAAGGAACGUUGAAGACGACGACGUUGAUAGGCCGGGUGUGUAAGCGCAGCGAUGCGUUGAGCUAACCGGUACUAAUGAACCGUGAGGCUUAACCUU